rnacentral:rRNA from 1 species
AGAGUUUGAUCCUGGCUCAGAACAAACGCUGGCGGCGUGCCUAACACAUGCAAGUCGUACGAGAAAGUCCGCUUCGGUGGAUGAGUAAAGUGGCGCACGGGUGAGUAACGCGUGGAUAAUCUACCCUUUAGUCUGGAAUAACUUAUCGAAAGGUGAACUAAUACCGGAUAAUAUCCCGAUUUCUUCGGCGAUCGGGAUCAAAGAAGGCCUCUGCUUGCAAGCUUUCACUGAAGGAUGAGUCCGCGUACCAUUAGCUAGUUGGCAGGGUAAUGGCCUACCAAGGUUAUGAUGGUUAGCUGGUCUGAGAGGAUGAUCAGCCACACUGGAACUGAAACACGGUCCAGACUCCUACGGGAGGCAGCAGUGAGGAAUAUUGCGCAAUGGGGGCAACCCUGACGCAGCAACGCCGCGUGAGUGAGGAAGGUUUUCGGAUUGUAAAGCUCUGUCGAGCGGAAAGAAGUGCAUGGUGGUUAAUAUCCAUC